AGCGAACGCUGGCGGCAGGCCUAACACAUGCAAGUCGAACGAACCCUUCGGGGUUAGUGGCGGACGGGUGAGUAACACGCGGGAACGUGCCUUUAGGGUCGGAAUAACUCAGGGAAACUUGUGCUAAUACCGAAUGUGCCCUUCGGGGGAAAGAUUUAUCGCCUUUAGAGCGGCCCGCGUCUGAUUAGCUAGUUGGUGAGGUAAUGGCUCACCAAGGCUACGAUCAGUAGCUGGUCUGGGAGGAUGACCAGCCACAUUGGGACUGAGACACGGCCCAAACUCCUACGGGAGGCAGCAGUGGGGAAUCUUGCGCAAUGGGCGAAAGCCUGACGCAGCCAUGCCGCGUGGAUGAUGAAGGCCUUAGGAUUGUAAAAUCCUUUCACCGGUGAAGAUAAAGACUGUAGCCGGAGAAGAAGCCCCGGCUAACUUCGUGCCAGCCGCCGCAGUAACAC
rnacentral:rRNA from 1 species